UGUGUUGUUGCAUUUUCAGAAUCUACUAUGUUCACUGAGGUUGGAGCAAUACCCUCAUGAUUUCCCACGAUGCCUUUUCCCUUUCUCUUUGCUUUAUUUGUUUCCUUGUUCCUGCCCUAAUACCAAACAAGGGUUGGGAGACAGAUGACAGUUGGUGUAAAGGUCCAUGCCCCAUGGUGAUGCUGAGGGACUUCCAUCCUCAAGUGGCGGAGCAAUAUUUGACUCCCCUUUAAGAUCAGCUAUUGUACUCUUCUCUUCUGAGGAGUUGAUCUUGCAUACAUGUCUUGCUAGCAUGUGAGUGUGCUACUACUGAUGCGGAAUCUGAGUUUACUACAGCUGGAGUUUCACUGUGAAACUAUAGCGUGCCAGUGUUUUCAAUGAUUCAAGUUCGAUGCAGACCGGUUGAACUUAAAGAGAGGGCAUUCUAUAAUAUAGGUGGGUAAUUCCUGCUUUAACCUCUGUAUUUCUCUUGAUUUUAGUGCAUG